UGAUUAUUUGUACGCUCGAUCAGGGCAUGAAGCUGGGCACAGACUCGGGCAAUCGGCCACCCCCUGAGCCUCAUGAGAUCAGACUAACAAUCAGGCUGACCAGCUGCUGUGCUCCACGGUGAGGAUCACGCCAUCACGGCGACCUAGCGACGUCGAGUGACGCUAAGGGCUUGUGUGGGACAAAGGGUAAUGGAGGGAAUUGAGGGGGCUAUAAUCCCUCACUAUUUAAAAUUAAGUAGUAGAGGAUUCUAGCCCCCUCAAUACACUUCAUUACCUUUGAUCCCAAACAAGCCCUAAUGCGGUGACUCGGCUCAGCAGCGCCAGGGAACGGCCCAGUGGGAGGGAAAGCCUCACACCGUCACGCGGUAGAGGUGCUCGACGAAAUGGCCACUUGGCGGGCUCACGGUCAAGGGACGUCCCGCGGGCCGUUCAGAAGAGAGUAACCACUCUCCUCCUUGGGCUCAGUGCACAGGUCACUUCAGGAUGCGAGAGCCAGGUUGUUGGAGCGUAAGAGCCAAGGAGGGAUAUGGAAGGUCAGUGAGAACAGAGAAGAUGCCAACGGGAAAUUUCCAUCCGGAACACUGUGACAUAUGUACCUGUGUUCCUCCAUGUCAUUGUGACAAUGUCCUCCGCAGAAUAUGCAGAGAGCCAGACACGGGUACUGAAAGAAAAUCAAUGCCAAGUGGAAGAGCUCCUCUGCUCGUGCAAGACUCUUUUUUGUGGCCAUCGCCAAUCUGCCAGGAAGAUUCAUGUUAUUUCUGAAGGAGCAAGCUAGAAUGCACUGUUAAUCACUGUUGUUGUGUCGACUACUUGUAAUUUUGCACUACAGCUGUUGAAACUGCUCACUUUAGCUUACAUUUGUGCUUCGUCUCGAGCUAUCCUUGACUUAAUUCUUGUGGAGAAAGUUAGGAGGACACAGCUUCAUAGCGCAACGUUGCAAGCAACAGAAAUGGAAAAGAAAAAACAAUCCUUCCAGAGUUACUGAAGGUCAGAAGCAAUGCCUGUUCAAGACUUUACUUUUCCGUAACCUUUCCAAAUCAGCAUUCUCAGCAUUGACUUUUCCUUUGAUAAUGACAAUGCUUAGCAAACUGGAAAGCUCUACGAAUAACGGUGAUGUGAAAAAUGCAGAAGGGGGUAGCUGUAGCAGCUUACAGGGAUCACACGCUUUUUUUCUUCACUUAUUAUACUUGUUCCUUGUUGUGAACAAGUUAAAAGCACAAUAACUUUCUAGCUGUUGUGUGACAUGGCACUGAGUUGUACUAAAUACAAGCAUCAAUGGUUCUAAGUCGUAUGUUCCAUUAUCAAGGAAAUUGUAUUUUUCCCACGAUGAAGAAUUUUAAAUUUCACUGCAUUC